rnacentral:sRNA from 1 species
GCAAGCAUUGAGGCUCCCCAACAGAAGCAUUUCUCUGAUGCUUCUGUUAGAAACUGCUGAAGCUGUAAAAGAGAUUUUCAUCAAUUUUCUUUGAGGAACAAAAUAAGUGAAACAAUCUUGAAAAUCUGUUCCUGAAAAGAGAUUGCUCCGCAAAGCUGGAUGAAGAAUUUGAAAAAAAAUUCAACAGCCUCCCUCAAUAUAGUCCUGUUACAUUUGACCGGAAAUGUGUACCUGUCCCAAGAAAAAAGAAGAAGACUGGAAAUGUGUCCUCAGAACCGACUAAAACCAGCAAAGGUCCUUUCCAGUCUCAGAAAAAGAACUUAUUCCACAAAAUUGUCAGCAAAUAUAAGCACAAAAAGGAGAAGCCCAAUGUUCCGGAAAAAGGAAGUGGGGAUAAAUGGUCAAACAAGCAACUCUUCUUGGAUGCCAUUCACCCUACAGAAGCCAUAUUUUCAGAAGACAGAAACACCACGGAGCCUGUUCAUAAGGUUAAAAAUAUCCCAUCCAUUUUCAACACUCCAGAGCCAACAACAACGCAAGAACCUUUGGUGGGCAGCCAAAAGAGAAAAGCAAGGAAAACC